AUCUAAAUUUAAAUAAAGUAAAGUGAAUAUCUGAAUAUCGUUGAUGUGUUUAUGUAGUGUAUGGUGUCGGGGAAAGUAUGUAUAUACAUAUUUGGCGUCGCGUUAUUUGUAAAUGUAUGGCUUGGUCGUAUGCAUGUGGCUUUGGUCUAAAUUGUGUCUAUUAGUGCGUUUUGUGAAUAAUAAUGUGUGAAUAUUAAGUGCAUAAAGCCUAUAAAAUAAAAUAGUGCACCAAGAUCAAGAGUAAAAAAGUGCAAAGUGAUUGAAGAUUGCGUGAUUGGGUGGACAUCACAAAUUGCAUAUGAAGCGCAUACCUUGUUUUGCCAAGCUGCCAUAUUGAAAAGUAAUUGGUAUUAUGCAACUUAGUAAUAAUACCGUUAUUAUACAUGGAGUUUGCUUAACACAUAUGCCCCAAUAUUUGGCCAUUUUGCACAAGGCAAAAGCUCAACAAAGGAUUACUUGCUCUUUUAUUGCUAAAUAGACACAAGGGAUUCAAUAGAAACUGUAAUCAUUAGAAAUCAGGGUUGCAAGCAGAUUAAGUAAGGAGACCAAUCCCUGAAAAAAGGUUGUAUGCUGCAACAAAGGUGCCUCAACAGACAAAAUUUUGAACAGCUUUUAUAAAAAACGAGCUGCAAAGAUGACCUGGCGUAAAAACUCUAUUCAGCAUGCUGUAAUUAUGCUCGUUCAAUCGUGUCAGAUUUUAUUUCAAUAUAAUUAAAAAUACUUGAUUACACUUUUUCGGCUGAACACCAUGUAAAGU